GGAUGUGAGGGCGAUCUGGCUGCGACAUCUGUCACCCCAUUGAUCACCAGGGUUGAUUUGGCUGAUCUGGCUGUCUAGGCAGGGUCCCCUUCCUCCCUCACUGUUCCAUGUGCGUCCCUCCCAAGGCUGCGCAUUCGGUCAAAGAUGACGACCUUCCCCGAUAGAGGAGGACCGUUCUUCGGUCAAGGGUAUACGAGUAGUUGCGCUACACUGCUAGAACCCCCAAACAAGCUCUCAAGGAAGGGGGAAUUACAAAGUGAUAUUACUGCUAGUUCCCUUCUCACAUUGGUAUGUUAGCCCUAAUAGCAUGCUAUUUCCC
rfam:Ailuropoda melanoleuca scaffold400_11, whole genome shotgun sequence.